AGUGAACGCUGGCGGUAGGCCUAACACAUGCAAGUCGAACGGCAGCACAGUAAGAGCUUGCUCUUACGGGUGGCGAGUGGCGGACGGGUGAGGAAUACAUCGGAAUCUACUUUUUCGUGGGGGAUAACGUAGGGAAACUUACGCUAAUACCGCAUACGACCUACGGGUGAAAGCAGGGGAUCUUCGGACCUUGCGCGAUUGAAUGAGCCGAUGUCGGAUUAGCUAGUUGGCGGGGUAAAGGCCCACCAAGGCGACGAUCCGUAGCUGGUCUGAGAGGAUGAUCAGCCACACUGGAACUGGGCCACGGUCCAGACUCCUACGGGAGGCAGCAGUGGGGAAUAUUGGGCAAUGGGCGCAAGCCUGAUCCAGCCAUACCGCGUGGGUGAAGAAGGCCUUCGGGUUGUAAAGCCCUUUUGUUGGGAAAGAAAAGCAGCAGGUUAAUACCCCGCUGUUCUGACGGUACCCAAAGAAUAAGCACCGGCUAACUUCGUG
rnacentral:rRNA from 1 species